rnacentral:rRNA from 1 species
UACGUAGGGUGCAAGCGUUGUCCGGAAUUAUUGGGCGUAAAGAGCUUGUAGGCGGUUUGUCGCGUCUGCUGUGAAAUUUCGGGGCUCAACCCCGAACUUGCAGUGGGUACGGGCAGACUAGAGUGUGGUAGGGGGAGACUGGAAUUCCUGGUGUAGCGGUGAAAUGCGCAGAUAUCAGGAGGAACACCGGUGGCGAAGGCGGGUCUCUGGGCCGAUACUGACGUGAGGAGCGAAAGCGUGGGGAGCGAACAGG